rnacentral:rRNA from 2 species
GGCUAAUACCGGAUGUGUCAUCGGACCGCAUGGUCCGUUGAUGAAAGGCGCUCCGGCGUCGCCCAUGGAUGGCUUUGCGGUGCAUUAGCUAGUUGGUGGGGUAACGGCCCACCAAGGCGACGAUGCAUAGCCGACCUGAGAGGGUGAUCGGCCACACUGGGACUGAGACACGGCCCAGACUCCUACGGGAGGCAGCAGUAGGGAAUCUUCCACAAUGGACGAAAGUCUGAUGGAGCAACGCCGCGUGAACGAUGAAGGCUUUCGGGUCGUAAAGUUCUGUUGUAAGGGAAGAACAAGUGCCGCAGGCAAUGGCGGCACCUUGACGGUACCUUGCGAGAAAGCCACGGCUAACUACGUGCCAGCAGCCGCGGUAAUACGUAGGUGGCAAGCGUUGUCCGGAAUUAUUGGGCGUAAAGCGCGCGCAGGCGGCCUCUUAAGUCUGAUGUGAAAGCCCCCGGCUCAACCGGGGAGGGCCAUUGGAAACUGGGAGGCUUGAGUAUAGGAGAGAAGAGUGGAAUUCCACGUGUAGCGGUGAAAUGCGUAGAGAUGUGGAGGAACAC